AGCAGUGAGGAAUAUUGCACAAUGGGGGAAACCCUGAUGCAGCAACGCCGCGUGGAGGAUGACGCAUUUCGGUGUGUAAACUCCUUUUAUAUGUCAAGAAAAUGACGGUAGCAUAUGAAUAAGCACCGGCUAACUCCGUGCCAGCAGCCGCGGUAAUACGGAGGGUGCAAGCGUUAUUCGGAAUCACUGGGCGUAAAGGACGCGUAGGCGGGUUGCCAAGUCUGAUGUGAAAUCCUACAGCUUAACUGUAGAACUGCAUUGGAAACUGGUAACCUAGAGUAUGGGAGGGGGAGAUGGAAUUAGUGGUGUAGGGGUAAAAUCCGUAGAUAUCACUAGGAAUACCGAAAGCGAAGGCGAUCUCCUGGAACAUUACUGACGCUAAGGCGUGAAAGCGUGGGGAGCAAACGGGAUUAGAUACCCCGGUAGUCCACGCCCUAAACGAUGAACACUAGUCGUCGGGAUGCUUGUCAUCUCGGUGAUGCACUAACAGAUUAA
rnacentral:rRNA from 1 species